UGAGGAAAUUCGGAAACACAAAAAGCAAAUGCAGUAAGUCUUACUAUUUUGUUGCACCACAUUGAAAAAAGCUUUAGUUCAGAUACUAUUGAAAGUGAACAUCAGUGGAACUUUGAUGAUCAAGGCCACUCUAUUGUUGCAGCAACACCAGCAGGCGUCGGACAUUCAUAAAGUUGAAAGAACAAACCUAUGACUUGAACACACAAUUCGUGAUCUGAAUAUAGUUCACAAAUUUAAGGAAAGCAACUAUUAAAGACAUCCAGAUAGAUGGUAUACAUGAAGUAUGAGUUAAAGAAUUUUCAGAAGAACAAGCACAAUCCCGAUUCAUUCUUGCCAUUGCCUUCUCCAGACGGCGACAUUCAGGACCUGACUUACUUUUCAGAAAAAGAUGAAUCGAUUUUUGAAAGUUGAUCUAAAAAAGAUAACAUUUACAUGGGGCGUGGAUUUGAAUGACAUUUUCUUGAUGGGCAACAAGUUUCAAGUAUUUGGAUGUCUAUUCUCAAGUUACUGCAAACCUUAAAUUAACUUCUUGAUUAUUAGUUAAAUGUGAGACCGUGUCUUACUUGAAGUAAUCAUUUUUUGAAUUGAGCUAUGUAAUCUCUGAUUUCUUAUGUUUAUGAGUAGUGUUCAGCUUUAAGACAAAAGGAUCUUUUAUGAACAUUGCGUUCGGCAUGGCGAAUUUCUAAACAUUAAAGUCAUAGUUUUCGUCUUUUUUAAUUAGUAAUCUCAUUUUAAAUGUGAGAAAUAAUUAUUAAACUGAAAUGUACAUUUAUGUUGUUUGAUUUUUAUUUUUUUGAAAAUUAUAAAUCAAGUGCAUUUUUUUUUUCAUUUUAUUUUAGGGGAUGGGAGUGGGGGUGCAGCUGUUAAGUUUGAGUAUAUUUUCCAAAAGGAUGUACAUCGUUAUUUUUGUUUGAAGAACAAUUUUAAAAUGCAAAAUGAUGAGAUAUUAGACUACACUUUUUUUUCUUAAAACUUCAUUUGAAUUAAUAUAUUUUGUUUAUAAUAAGUAGCAAUAACAUGCAAGUUUUAGAGUUAUUUGACAACUCACUAUAUACUUGUUUUACAUGUCAUACAUCUAUGAAGAUUGUCUCAAAUUUUGAGGGUUUUUUUUCUGUGUUCAACAUUUAUUGACAUGUUUCUUAUCUGUGUUCAACUUA